rnacentral:rRNA from 1 species
AUUGAACGCUGGCGGCAGGCCUAACACAUGCAAGUCGAACGAGUGGCGGACGGGUGAGUAAUGUCUGGGAACCUGCCUGAUGGAUGGGGAUAACUACUGGAAAAGGUAGCUAAUACCGCAUACCAUCAGAUGUGCCCAGAUGGGAGUAGCUUGUUGGGGGGGUAACGGCUCACCAGGGCGACGAUCCCUAGCUGGUCUGAGAGGAUGACCAGCCAAACUGGAACUGAGACACGGUCCAGACUCCUACGGGAGGCAGAAGUGGGGAAUAUUGGACAAUGGGCGCAAGCCGGAUGCAGCCAUGCCGCGUGUAUGAAGAAGGCCUUCGGGUUGUAAAGUACUUUCAGCGGGGAGGCGUUACCCGCAGAAGAAGCACAGGCUAACUACGUGCGAGCCGCCGCGGUAAUUC